rnacentral:snRNA from 1 species
GUGCUCACUUCAGCACAUACACUAAAAUUGGAACGAUACAGAGAAGAUUAGCAUGGCCCCUGUGCAAGGCUGGCAUGCUUUUAAAAUAAAAAAAAAUUUU